UACGGAGGGGGCUAGCGUUGUUCGGAAUUACUGGGCGUAAAGCGCACGUAGGCGGCUUUGUAAGUUAGAGGUGAAAGCCCGGAGCUUAACUCCGGAACUGCCUUUAAGACUGCAUCGCUCGAAUCAUGGAGAGGUCAGUGGAAUUCCGAGUGUAGAGGUGAAAUUCGUAGAUAUUCGGAAGAACACCAGUGGCGAAGGCGACUGACUGGACAUGUAUUGACGCUGAGGUGCGAAAGCGUGGGGAGCAAACAGG
rnacentral:rRNA from 1 species